rnacentral:rRNA from 1 species
AUUGAACGCUGGCGGCAGGCCUAACACAUGCAAGUCGAGCGGAUGAAGGGAGCUUGCUCCUGGAUUCAGCGGCGGACGGGGGAGUAAUGCCUAGGAAUCUGCCUGGUAGUGGGGGAUAACGUCCGGAAACGGGCGCUAAUACCGCAUACGUCCUGAGGGAGAAAGUGGGGGAUCGUCGGACCUCACGCUAUCAGAUGAGCCUAGGUCGGAUUAGCUAGUUGGUGGGGUAAAGGCCUACCAAGGCGACGAUCCGUAACUGGUCUGAGAGGAUGAUCAGUCACACUGGAACUGAGACACGGUCCAGACUCCUACGGGAGGCAGCAGUGGGGAAUAUUGGACAAUGGGCGAAAGCCUGAUCCAGCCAUGCCGCGUGUGUGAAGAAGGUCUUCGGAUUGUAAAGCACUUUAAGUUGGGAGGAAGGGCAGUAAGUUAAUACCUUGCUGUUUUGACGUUACCAACAGAAUAAGCACCGGCUAACUUCGUG